GGGUGGUAGGUCGUGAUUCAAUGGACGAUCUGCUGACCUAGGUUUAUAUUUUAUUUCACUCAUCAAGUCAGAACUAUUAAAAAUUUUGAUAUAUUUUGUCAAAAGCACGCCAAUCAACAAAGUUUGCAGCACCUAAUAUCUUAAUCUCUACCUACAUUUGGAUGUGACGUUGGCUGGCAUAUUUACGCCCCCACCUAACAAUACCCACGUACAUUUUCCUGCUAAACAUUUUAUUAAACAUGUGAGGAUCCAGUC
rnacentral:lncRNA from 1 species